GUGCUCACUUUGGCAGAACGAACGUUGGAGAGAUACAGAGAAGGUGAGCAUGACCCCUGUGCAAGAGGACAUGCAAAUUCGUGAAGCAUUCCAUAUUCUU
rnacentral:snRNA from 1 species